rnacentral:rRNA from 1 species
UACGGAGGGUGCGAGCGUUGUCCGGAAUCAUUGGGCGUAAAGGGCGCGUAGGUGGCCCGGUCAGUUCGUGGUGAAAGCGCGGGGCUCAACCCUGCGUCGGCCAUGAAUACUGCCGCGGCUGGAGCACUGUAGAGGCAGGCGGAAUUCCGGGUGUAGCGGUGGAAUGCGUAGAGAUCCGGAAGAACACCGGUGGCGAAGGCGGCCUGCUGGGCAGUUGCUGGACACUGAGGCGCGACAGCGUGGGGAGCGAACGAGG